UACGUAGGGGUCGAGCGUUGUCCGGAGUUACUGGGCGUAAAGCGCGUGCAGGUGGCUCAUUACGCCCGGCGUGAAAGCCCCCGGCUCAACCGGGGAGGGUCGUCGGGGACGGGUGAGCUUGAGGGUAGCAGGGGCUGGUAGAAUUCCCGGUGUAGUGGUGAAAUGCGUAGAGAUCGGGAGGAAUACCCGUGGCGAAGGCGGCAAGCUGGGCUACACCUGACACUGAGACGCGAAGGCGUGGGGAGCGAACGGG
rnacentral:rRNA from 1 species